rnacentral:lncRNA from 1 species
AUGAGGCCAAACACACAGGAAUUACACAUUUCCCUGAGGAAAGAACUGUUCUUUAAUGUCCCAGCCAAUACCUCGCAUAAUGGGGAACACAGCCCAAGAAAAACACAAGUCAUAAGGCUAGAACUGGGAAGGUGUGACUCAUGGGUCAGCUGCUUCCCUUUCAGCAUCAUCGCCUUCACAGGUGGAGGCAGUCUCACAGGUGUGCACCGGCUUGUCACCCGGCCGGCAAAACCCAAGACGGAGCUCGUCUCAAGGAGCAGACCCACGGUCUUCAUCUUUGGGGACCUCUGGUCAGGAACAGGGAUGUAUGCACACACCGUUUCCAAACUAGAACUGUUCAACGUGUUGAAUGAGCCUACGAAAUGCGAUAGUAAAGUCUGCCACCACUUGAAGAAAAGCACUAAUAGUCUACAUGCAGCCAAACGCGCUGGCGCGCACAUUCUGUGCAUAUCAAGAGCUCUUUGACCAUAGAGACUAAUUAUCCUCGACGAGAAAUUCGGCACAAAUCAACUUGCUCGCGGACUCUGCCCCUACUUGUCAAGAGCCCUGGGGUGGCGGCGACGCAGGAGCCUCGGAGGCUCGGGACUGCCCCACUCUCCCCGCCGCCUGUGUCCGCGCGGCGGGGCG